rnacentral:rRNA from 1 species
UUAAGCAUGCAAGUCGAACGGUAAUAGAGUGCUUGCACUCUAUGAGAGUGGCGGACGGGUGAGUAACACGUAGAUAAUCUGCCUUUGGAUUGGGGAUAGCAUAUGGAAACAUGUGGUAAUACCGAAUAAGCUCCUAGCAGCACAAGCUGUCUGGAGGAAAGGUGCUUAGGCACCGUCCGAAGAUGAGUCUGCGCUUCAUUAGCUAGUUGGUGGGGUAAAGGCCUACCAAGGCGACGAUGAAUAGCCGGCCUGAGAGGGUGGACGGCCACACUGGGACUGAGACACGGCCCAGACUCCUACGGGAGGCAGCAGCUAAGAAUCUUCCGCAAUGGGGGAAACCCUGACGGAGCGACGCCGCGUGAACGAUGAAGGCGGAAACGUUGUAAAGUUCUUUCUUGGGGAGGAAUAAGUCUAUCAGGUAAUGGGUGGAUGAUGACGUUAACCAAGGAAUAAGCCCCGGCUAAUUACGUGCCAGCAGCCGCGGUAACACGUAAGGGGCAAGCGUUGUUCGGAAUUAUUGGGCGUAAAGGGCGCGCAGGCGGUUUUACAAGUCUGGUGUGAAAUAUCUCAGCUUAACUGAGGGACCGCGCUGGAAACUGUAAGACUAGAAUCUAGGAGGGGAAGCUGGAAUUCCUGGUGUAGGGGUGAAAUCUGUAGAUAUCAGGAAGAACACCGGUGGCGAAGGCGAGCUUCUGGCCAUAGAUUGACGCUGAGGCGCGAAAGCGUGGGGAGCGAACAGGAUUAGAUACCCUGGUAGUCCACGCUGUAAACGAUGUGCACUAGGUGUUGGGCCAUAAGGUUCAGUGCCGUAGCUAACGCGUUAAGUGCACCGCCUGGGGAGUAUGCCCGCAAGGGUGAAACUCAAAGGAAUUGACGGGGGCCCGCACAAGCGGUGGAGCAUGUGGUUUAAUUCGAUGAUACGCGAGAAACCUUACCAGGGCUUGACAUAUAUUUGACAUCUACAGAGAUGUAGAGUUCUCUUCGGAGACAAUUAUACAGGUGCUGCAUGGUUGUCGUCAGCUCGUGCUGUGAAGUGUUGGGUUAAGUCCCGCAACGAGCGCAACCCCUGCUGUCUGUUGCCAUCAUUAAGUUGGGGACUCAGACGGUACUGCCGGUGACAAACCGGAGGAAGGUGGGGACGACGUCAAAUCAUCAUGGCCCUUAUGUCCUGGGCUACACACGUGCUACAAUGGCCGGUACAGAGCGACGCGAGACCGCGAGGUGGAGCAAAUCGCAGAAAGCCGGUCCCAGUACAGAUUGAAGUCUGAAACUCGACUUCAUGAAGGUGGAAUCGCUAGUAAUCGCGCAUCAGCAUGGCGCGGUGAAUACGUUCCCGGGCCUUGUACACACCGCCCGUCACACCACCCGAGUUGGGGGUACCCGAAGUCACUAGUCUAACCUGCAAAGGAGGACGGUGCCGAAGGUAUGCUUGGUAAGGGGGGUGAAGUCGAAACAAGGUA